rnacentral:rRNA from 1 species
AGCGAACGCUGGCGGCAGGCCUAACACAUGCAAGUCGAACGAUCCUUCGGGAUAGUGGCGGACGGGUGAGUAACACGUGGGAAUAUGCCUUUUGGUUUGGGAUAACUGAGGGAAACUUCAGCUAAUACCGGAUAAGCCCUAUGGGGAAGAUUUAUCGCCGAAAGAGUAGCCCGCGUUGGAUUAGCUAGUUGGUGGGGUAAUGGCCGACCAAGGCUACGAUCCAUAGCUGGUCUGAGAGGAUGAUCAGCCACACUGGGACUGAGACACGGCCCAGACUCCUACGGGAGGCAGCAGUGGGGAAUCUUGCGCAAUGGGCGAAAGCCUGACGCAGCCAUGCCGCGUGAAUGAUGAA